GUUUGAUCAUGGCUCAGAUUGAACGCUGGCGGCAUGCCUUACACAUGCAAGUCGAACGGCAGCACGGGGGCAACCCUGGUGGCGAGUGGCGAACGGGUGAGUAACAUAUCGGAACAUACCCUAGAGUGGGGGAUAACGUAGCGAAAGUUACGCUAAUACCGCAUACGAUCUAAGGAUGAAAGUGGGGGAUCUUCGGACCUCAUGCUCAUGGAGUGGCCGAUAUCUGAUUAGCUAGUUGGUGAGGUAAAGGCUCACCAAGGCGACGAUCAGUAGCUGGUUUGAGAGAACGACCAGCCACACUGGAACUGAGACACGGUCCAGACUCCUACGGGAGGCAGCAGUGGGGAAUUUUGGACAAUGGGGGCAACCCUGAUCCAGCAAUGCCGCGUGAGUGAAGAAGGCCUUCGGGUUGUAAAGCUCUUUUGUCAGGGAAGAAACGGUGAGUUCUAAUACAGCUUGCUAAUGACGGUACCUGAAGAAUAAGCACCGGCUAACUACGUG
rnacentral:rRNA from 1 species